rnacentral:rRNA from 1 species
AGUGAACGCUGGCGGUAGGCCUAACACAUGCAAGUCGAACGGAAGCACAGUAAGAGCUUGCUCUUACGGGUGGCGAGUGGCGGACGGGUGAGGCAUACAUCGGCAUCUAAUUUUUCGUGGGGGAUAACGUAGGGAAACUUACGCUAAUACCGCAUACGAUCUACGGGUGAAAGCAGGGGAUCUUCGGACCUUGCGCGUUUGAAUGAGCCGAUGUCGGAUUAGCUAGUUGGCGAGGUAAAGGCCCACCAAGGCGACGAUCCGUAGCUGGUCUGAGAGGAUGAUCAGCCACACUGGAACUGAGACACGGUCCAGACUCCUACGGGAGGCAGCAGUAGGGAAUAUUGGACAAUGGGCGCAAGCCUGAUCCAGCCAUACCGCGUGAGUGAAGAAGGCCUUCGGGUUGUAAAGCCCUUUUGUUGGGAAAGAAAAGCAGCAGAUUAAUACCCCGCUGUUCUGACGGUACCCAAAGAAUAAGCACCGGCUAACUUCGUG